AUUGAACGCUGGCGGCAUGCCUUACACAUGCAAGUCGAACGGUAACGCGGGGCAACCUGGCGACGAGUGGCGAACGGGUGAGUAAUGCAUCGGAACGUGCCCAGUAGUGGGGGAUAGCCCGGCGAAAGCCGGAUUAAUACCGCAUACGACCUACGGGUGAAAGGGGGGGAUCGCAAGACCUCUCGCUAUUGGAGCGGCCGAUGUCAGAUUAGGUAGUUGGUGGGGUAAAGGCCUACCAAGCCUACGAUCUGUAGCUGGUCUGAGAGGACGACCAGCCACACUGGGACUGAGACACGGCCCAGACUCCUACGGGAGGCAGCAGUGGGGAAUUUUGGACAAUGGGCGCAAGCCUGCUCCAGCCAUGCCGCGUGCGGGAAGAAGGCCUUCGGGUUGUAAACCGCUUUUGUCAGGGAAGAAACGCUCUGGGAUAAUACCCUGGGGUAAUGACGGUACCUGAAGAAUAAGCACCGGCUAACUACGUGCCAGCCGCCGCAGUAACAC
rnacentral:rRNA from 1 species